GUAAAAACGGCUCCUUUGUCGGCGUUUUCGGGGAACUUUUAAACCGGCAUCUCCGGGGGGGGGGGUGGUGGUGGUGAGGGGUGUGGUGAGGUGGACUGCGGUGCUGUUUGUUUGCGGCGCGUCUCCUCGGAGCUGCCCGGAGAGAGAGCCUCGUCUCGUUCCUCAGCUCAGCGCUGCGCUGGGGUGUCACGGAUGAGGCGGGGAGGAGGAGUCCCUUCGCCUGAGGGACAACAUGAGCGAGGCGGACUGACGGCAGACAAACACAGCCACAAACCCACUGCCACCAUUCCACUGAGGAAUAACGAGGGAUGAGCCGAGGAAGGCGCGCGGCUUUCCUUAUUCCAUGCGGAGGUGUGUGUGUGUUUUUUUUUUUUUCUUCACUCCGUGUGGGAGAAGGUGAGGCCAAUGGCAGCCGACGGUGGAAAACGCAAGCGUGGAUUCGGCUGCGAGCGGAGGCAGAGCAACGCGAUUGGUCCUGUUUCGGAAAAGGGGCGUGGUCAAACGGUGUGAAACUCCGCCUCUAACCUUGACAUAAUUCAAUUAAUAAAGGUAGCUGGCGGAUGAGAGAGAGAGAGAGAGAGAGAGCUGUUAGUAGACUGAUCAGCAAGCGAAAGGAAAACAGUAUGCAAGUAUAAUCAUACGAUGAUACUUUGAAGAUGACGCAUAAAACAUCAAUAACGAUGACUGCAAUGAAAUUCGAUGAUGAUGCAUUUGUGUUAUUGUUUUGAUAUCUAUUCAUUUCAUCUGUCUAGCGCUUAGUUGGUCGAUUAUCAACAUUACACUCUCUAAGCAUCGCCAGCUGACGGUUAUAGUCUCUGAGCUGGAGCCUCAUCGUGAAAAGCGGACUGUUAUUGCCCGUAGGAGCCCAGGCCCGUCAUUAAGUAAUCUAUCCCCUCCCAGAUUCUCUGAAUUGCAGGAGGGAGAGAGAGAAUAGAAGCGCCUUCAAUCACACCUGAAUCACACGUGGUCCAAUAACCUCACAGUGACUUAAUCGCCGCUUUAUAGUCUCAGUCCUGGUUUUGAGAGGCUCCGCUCUGCAGGACUCCGGCCUGGGUUUGUCGCUCAGAGCUCCUCUUCUUUGCACUUGUUGCGUGGUGAGGGGUGCUGGUGAGGAGGUGGAUCUCCUCGGCGCCCCGCAGCGGAGCUGAGGCACAGCGCCGUAUGUGGAGGAGCACCAUAUUCAGCCAAAGACUGCCGCUCUGCUGCCCUGCUGCCCGGAGAGCAGCGACCGGCCUGCGCGGUGUUAACUCACUUAACAGAGGUGGCAGGCCAGACAUCCCCCUCCACCCCAGGGCAGGGUCAAGGCCUACACCCGUCCAGCACCCACCCCCAACCCCCCAACCAAGAUUUGGGGAUUUGGAGACCUCUCUGGUGGAAGUUUGUAAUCGCAUGCAAUGUGCAGAAGAACACUUUAUAAUGCUGGUUAUGCUUUGAACCCCAAGAGCGGAUAUGAGAACUCAAAAUUUGGCGAGGGACGUGUCUUCCAGAGACGUCACUGAAUAACCUACUAUAGUCAUCAAGAAUAAUAUUGAUCGUAUUUGCAUUUCAGACACAUCAAGCUGAACUUUCUUUUUGAGCCCGAAUGUUUGACUUUAAUAAAUAAAAAUGUAUGACAUGGUCCGAAAAACUCCAGCGAAAUCCAAUCUGACACCUCUGACUUUCAAAUUAGUAUGUCAGGCUUUACAGGGUGACUCAUAUUUUAGCAUGUUUUUUUUCUGUCUCAGUAGUAAAAUCAGCUACUUCUUUCAGUUUUAACAAAGCAAAGAAAGUCUUCUGUAGUGCUUCUUUAACUUCUGCGGUAUUAUUACACUAUUAUUACAGUUAUAUCACCAGCCCCUGCUCUGAGCAAUGGUCUCAGCAUUUCAUAUUUAGCUUCAUUUUUCAUUGCUCAGAUACUCACUAGGGAUUUGUCUCUUCAGCUCUUUUGAGGAACGGCAUGGUGGAUCCCAUUAUUUUGAGUCCGAUAUGAUCAGCAACUAUCCACAUUUAUUGCAUGAUCUCAGAACAUCUCUCUCCACUGUAACGCCACACCCCUUUAAUGUGUGAACAUUAAAAUUCUUCCACAAGGCCAGACCAAACAUCCUCUCGCAGAUAUCACGCUAGACUAAGAUUGCACUGUUCUCUGCCAUGGUUUAUGUUGUUCAUUUUUCAUGUCUGAUGGCUGCUCUGGAUUCUUGGUGGAACUCCUUGUUGAGGAAAAGAAGGCCCAGUGUUUUGAGACUAUUGUUCUCCAGCGCUCCAGUUUGAACUUUUACAGUCAAGGGCUUUUAAAAGUGGAGAAAUCUCGUGCUUAAUUUGAAGAAACACUUCUUACGGUUCAAAAGACUCGAGUCACUGUUUUCAUUAAUAUAAAACCAGUCAGCGUGCAGAGACAUGUAUAAAAUCUCUGCUAAUAAUCUAAGUUAUAAACUGUUUGUAGAAAGCUGUAUAAAUCAAUACAUUUGAAGAUUAGUGGUAGAUGGUUCCAUAAUAAUUGAAAAAUUGAAAAACAGUGACCAUAUUUUGCUGAUGAAAUAUCUAUUAAUAGUAUUUUGUGACAACAAAAUUCUGUAAGUAGAUGUUCCCAAAAUAGUUUAAAUUGGGAAUAAACCAUGUUUAUUUUG